rnacentral:lncRNA from 1 species
GUUUUUCUCCUCUUGUGGUGCUUUAAAGAAUCCAUAUCGAAAAUUGUAGAGAGCUUCACAAUGUUCUCUUGGAAAUAUGCAAUUAAUUUAGCAUCAAGAGCACCUAAACCAAUGCUGGUGUGCAGAAUGGCAAGGCAGCCCUAGCAAAGAGCAAGGCUGAAUUAAACUGACCUGGCACGAAAGAGCAGAAAGCAGCCCGGAAGCAGUUGGCCACAGGAAGGGGCUAUAGGACGCUUCAGCCUCAUGACACAACCUCAGAGAAAGCAACCAGAAAACUGCUUCCAGGAAGACAACCUUUCACUGCACCUAACCUGCUUCCUGAGCCCUGAGAAAUACAAAUAAUGAGAGAAAAAAUCUGGUUUCUGGGUCUACAACAUCAGAUGACUCUUAGCAGAUGCAAGAUGCUUCUGGAAGCCGAACAGUGGUUGUGUUUGAUUCAUCAUACCCUUUGGACCACCCUGUUUGUCCAUCACGCUUCUGUGCCACGCUGCACUGCAGUGGUGUUCUCAUCCAGGAGAGCCUGGCCAUGGACAACAGGAUCAACAAGCUUUGAAGAGCCUGAUCCAGGGGACACAGGGAGCCUUCAGGUCUCCGUUACCUUCCAGUUCCCCGCUGCCCCAGUUCAGCUGCCUCCAACAAGAGCUUGGGAAGUAUGA